GAACGCAACUUGCGCCCUCUGGUAUUCCAAAGGGCAUCCCUGUUUGAGCGUCAUUUCACUCUUAAAUCGUUUGAUUUAGUAUUGAACUUAUAUUUUUCUGUUGCAAAAUAGAAAAUAGUUUGAAAUUGAUUUGGCAAGAAGCAAUAUCCAGUUUGAAGCUUUCUUUUUACAACGUAAUAGGUUUUACCAACUCGUUGGCUAGUAAGGAGCUUUGUUAUAUUUGGAUAUAUCGCUUUGGCGUUAUAAUUUUUAAAAUUAAAAGUUUGACCUCAAAUCAGGUAAGACUACCCGCUGAACUUAAG
rnacentral:misc_RNA from 1 species